ensembl:lncRNA novel transcript, antisense to DEPDC1B
AGAUUCCAGAGGACAAAAGGCAGGGAACAGCCUGGUCUUGGGGUCUUUAAACAGAGAGGCGCCAUCUACUGCCGAGAACCCAGUCAACAUCUCAUGGACAAAGCUGCACUAACCCCCGGCCGGCUGAGCUCUGGGCCCCGUUAGCCUUUCUUUGAGGCUCGUCCACUAAAAGGCAGCCCCAGUAGUCCCAGCUGAAAUGCUCCACACCCGAGCCCCGCUGGCCUGCGGAAGCGAAGACUGACAAGCACUCUGUCCGCGCGCUGAGUGGGGGCUCGCGGCACCGGGUGCUCCGCCCAGGCCCCAGCACACUCACUCACCAGCCUGGUAGCUCGGUACGGCCCGGGCCCCACGAUGCGAUGCUCCAUGGCGCGUAGGCAGCAGCGGCCGCAGCCGCGCCAGCGCUGAUCCCCGCCAGCCGGAGGAGCAGCAGUUUGAAUCCCAAGCCCGCGGGCUGCGGGCGCUGAUUGGGCGGCGCGGCAGCACGUCACCGGAAAUGCGCGGGGAGGCAGGCGUCUUCUCCGAGACCCGCGGCGCUGGGAGCUCCGCGUGCGAACUUGCCCGGGGCGAAAUCUGUUGCCCACCCUGGUCCCACCGUGCGAGCACACCUAGGCAGAGUGAGCUGUCCACAGGCGCAUACUUGAGCCCACUUGCCCAACUCCUAAGAUCUUAUCGGGAAGCUGCUGAUCAACAGUUCAAGUGUUUUCUAUUAGGAGACUGCCUUUCCCUGGUGCCGGCUGUGACCAACUAUUAUUUUAGAGAGACAAUUAACAACCACCUGACCAUCACCUGAUGGCUGCCUGACAUUCCUGAUGUGUGUGUGUAUGAGGGGGAGCCCUCUCCUGCCCUGCUCAUGCCUGACUAGCUACCUACUGUAACACCUUAACCAGAUUUUCUUUGUCAUGGCUUUUCUUCUCAAAUUUAUCUCUCUUUACCUAAAAAAAUGAAUAAAAGCAUCUUACUUUGGCCACUU